GACAGAGGGUGCAAACGUUGUUCGGAAUUACUGGGCGUAAGCGUGUGUAGGCGGUCUCUUAAGUCGGAUGUGAAGCCCGGGCUCAACCCGGGAAGUGCACUCGAAACUGGGAGGCUAGAGUACUGGAGAGGUUGGUGGAAUUCCGGGUGUAGCGGUGGAAUGCGUAGAGAUCCGGAAGAACACGGUGGCGAAGGCGGUUAGCUGGGCAGUUGCUGACACUGAGGAGCGAAAGCGUGGGGAGCGAACAGG
rnacentral:rRNA from 1 species